rnacentral:rRNA from 1 species
GAUUUCUGACUUGGCGCACCUGGCCCGCCACGGUUACGUGUGUGAGUGCCGGGAUGCGCCUGUCACUUUUCUGGUAAACUAUUAUGCUCUUCAUUGGGUGUGAUAGGUAGCCAGAUAUUUUACUUUGAAAAAAUUAGAGUGUUUAAAGCAGGCGUUUGCUAUGAAUACAUUAGCAUGGAAUAAUAAGUUAGGACUUCGGUUCUAUUUUGUUGGUUUCUAGGACUGAAGUAAUGAUUGAUAGGGAUAGUUGGGGGUGCUAGUAUUCAGCGGCCAGAGGUGAAAUUCUCGGAUUCGCUGAAGACUAACUUAUGCGAAAGCAUU